AGUAAAGCGCGGGCGGGGCGCCGCGCGGGGCGCGCUGGGAGCUGUAGUUCUCCCGCCGGUGGUCCCGUGCGGAGCCGCCAUGCCGGAGGGGACGGGAGCGCUGCGGGAGGUGCUGCCCAAGCAAGGACAGUUGUCGGUGGAGGACGCGGCCACCAUGGUGCUGUGCAAGCCCAAGAUCCUGCCGCUCAAGUCGGUGUCGCUGGAGAAGCUGGAGAAGCUGCAGCGGGCGGCGCUGGAGGCCGCGCAGCCGCCCGAGGGGGCUCCGCCGCCGUCCGCGGGGGCCGCGCCGGCCCAGCCAUAGCCCCGGGCGGGGGGCGCCGAGCCUGGCGGGGCCGAGCCUGGCGGGGCCGCUCCCGCGAUCGAGGAUUCUGCUGACAUCACAUGAGCAGACAGUUCAGGAGCCCAUGUACUGAAGGGAGAGCAACAGAAGCUCCUGUCCCAGGCCAGCACAGCUGUGCCACAGCAGCUUCCCCUGCAAGUGGCGCUUGGGUCCCUGACAGCAAGUCCCUGCCUUGUUCCCUCUUCCUUAGUGACUGUGUGACCACACAGGUGAUACCAUGUGUGAAUCAGAGAAAAGGCAUUGUCAGAAUAUUUGUGAGCAAUGACGUUCUCCAAGGGAAAAAAAGAGUCACACAGCAACUACCUCUUUUAUCACCUGUCCUGCAGAGUUCCAGCACACCAGAUCUCCCUGCUAUCAUUCAGUUCCCUACUCUGCACAGACUACAGAAGCAACAUUUGGAGCAACACUACAGAUCUGAACAAAGAAAUGCGAACAAAGACUUAGUUUUCCAACUAAGGUUUAAUGGAAAGAAACUUUCCAUGAUCAAGAAAUAACAGCAGAAGUCAAAAAACCUAUAAUUCCAUCACACCAGCCUCUGUUAACAGAAGCUAUCUGGAAUAUUCAUUCUUCGUUAAACUUUCUUCUGUGUGCUUCA